UGACCAAAAGCAAUUACAAAUACGGGCCUGAAAUGAUACAGUUCUUUAGAGUACAUUUUACCAUUGUUUAAAUUUAAAUACUUUUAUCGUUACAAAACGGCGGUAAAAACUCGGAUCAUUUCAAAUUGGAAACUCUGUAAUAAAACACCAUCGCAUAACCACAGAUGGCGCACGUGUCGCAAUUGACUGCAUUUGUUUUGGCAUAUUUUUGUUGGGGUUACUGUGUGAAAACAGAAGUCAGUGCUGUUUCGGCGGUGUUGGUGAAAGCAGUUGUUUUUCUUAAAUAAAACUAUCGUUAUUACUACGUUAACUAUCGUUUCGAUCGAAAAACAUUUCAGUGCGGUAUUAGAUAAGGGCAAUAAACCGAGCGGUGGAUCGGUUGCUUUUCAGUCAGCAAUAAAAAGGAAUCUAGAGCGACAUCGCGACGCCAUCAGGUCGUCAUCAAGUCGAUAAGGGAUUAGUCGCCGGCGAUAAGGAAUGAAGGCGGAUGAGAAAUAUCAUGUGUUUAUUCGGGAACUUCCUAUAUGCAAAUUGAAUCGUAUUUAAUUUAAAUUUCAACAUCUAUGCCGAAUUGGUAAACUACCGAGCUACGACAUUUUGCAUGUGUUCUUGUGAGGGUGAG